GCCCAGGUGGUGAAACUGGUAAACACACUGACUUCAGGAGUCAACGCCGAAAGGCUUGGGAGUUCGAAUCUCCCUCUGGGCA
rnacentral:tRNA from 1 species